UACGUAGGGUGCGAGCGUUAAUCGGAAUUACUGGGCGUAAAGCGUGCGCAGGCGGUUGUGCAAGACCGAUGUGAAAUCCCCGGGCUCAGCCUGGGAAUGGCAUUGGUGACUGCACGGCUAGAGUGUGUCAGAGGGGGGGUAGAAUUCCACGUGUAGCAGUGAAAUGCGUAGAGAUGUGGAGGAAUACCGAUGGCGAAGGCAGCCCCCUGGGAUAACACUGACGCUCAUGCACGAAAGCGUGGGGAGCAAACAGG
rnacentral:rRNA from 1 species